AGGACGAACGCUGGCGGCGUGCUUAACACAUGCAAGUCGAGCGGAAAGGCCCUUCGGGGUACUCGAGCGGCGAACGGGUGAGUAACACGUGAGUAAUCUGCCCCUAGCUCUGGGAUAGCUCCGGGAAACCGGGAUUAAUACCGGAUACGACCACCUUAGACAUCUGUCGUGGUGGAAAGGAUUCCGGCUAGGGAUGGGCUCGCGGCCUAUCAGCUUGUUGGUGGGUAACGCCUACCGAAGGCGACGACGGGUA
rnacentral:rRNA from 1 species